UACGUAGGGGGCAAGCGUUGUCCGGAUUUACUGGGCGUAAAGGGCGCGUAGGCGGCCUGUUAAGUCGAACGUGAAAUCCCCGGGCUCAACCCGGGAACUGCGUCCGAUACUGGCAGGCUUGAAUUCGGGAGAGGGAUGUGGAAUUCCAGGUGUAGCGGUGAAAUGCGUAGAUAUCUGGAGGAACACCGGUGGCGAAGGCGGCAUCCUGGACCGGCAUUGACGCUGAGGCGCGAAAGCCAGGGGAGCAAACGGG
rnacentral:rRNA from 1 species